rnacentral:rRNA from 1 species
UGGGGAAUAUUGCACAAUGGGCGCAAGCCUGAUGCAGCCAUGCCGCGUGUAUGAAGAAGGCCUUCGGGUUGUAAAGUACUUUCAGUCGGGAGGAAGGUGGUAAGGUUAAUAACCUUAUCAAUUGACGUUACCGACAGAAGAAGCACCGGCUAACUCCGUGCCAGCAGCCGCGGUAAUACGGAGGGUGCAAGCGUUAAUCGGAAUUACUGGGCGUAAAGCGCACGCAGGCGGUUGAUUGAGUCAGAUGUGAAAUCCCCGGGCUUAACCCGGGAAUUGCAUCUGAUACUGGUCAGCUAGAGUCUUGUAGAGGGGGGUAGAAUUCCAUGUGUAGCGGUGAAAUGCGUAGAGAUGUGGAGGAAUACCGGUGGCGAAGGCGGCCCCCUGGACAAAGACUGACGAUCAGGUGCGAAAGCGUGGGGAGCAAACAGG